UACGUAGGGUGCGAGCGUUAAUCGGAAUUACUGGGCGUAAAGCGUGUGCAGGCGGUUUGUUAAGACAGGUGUGAAAUCCCCGGGCUAACCUGGGAAUUGCGCUUGUUACUGGCAAGCUAGAGUGCGUCAGAGGGAGGUGGAAUUCCACGUGUAGCAGUGAAAUGCGUAGAGAUGUGGAGGAACACCGAUGGCGAAGGCAGCCUCCUGGGAUGACACUGACGCUCAUACACGAAAGGCGUGGGGAGCAAACAGG
rnacentral:rRNA from 1 species